GGAGGGAGUUCCAGAGGUGGGGCACAAUCACAGAGAAGGCCCGUCUCUCCUUCCCACCAGACGGGGCUGGCACCAAGAGCAGGGCCUCCUCCGCAGAUGGCAAAGCUCGGGCCAGUUUGUACACAGAGAUGUGGUUGAAGACACUAUCACAUCCCCUAAUCUUGGUUUUUAUAAUUACCUGUUCUUAAACUGGACUUGGACUGGACAACCUUUCAACCAGGAGGAUAAUCCCUCAUCAACCUUUAGAGGUCUUGUCAACACAAUCACGAAUGCCAACAUUUCCUUGGUAUUGGGGCUGGAUAUACAUUUUAGUACAGUCUUGAAGAAAAAGAAGAUCUUGACAUCAAUAUUGAUAUCUGCAAUAUCAUGAAUCAGAGCUAGUGAAAGAUAUGAUGACAUGACAAAAAUACACAAUAGACAGGAUUGAAAAUAAGAAAGUAUGGCAGCCAGAAGAAAGUGCGAAAGAAACAUUCAUGGACACUACAUCCCCAGAUAAUGAGGAUCUGGAAAUAGGCAGAUAAAACCAGUUCAUUCAGAACAUUGUGAGUCACUCGCAUGCUGCUUUGUGUAAAACUGUUAAAAAUCCUUUGAACAGCCACUUCCUGUUUCCCUUCAUAGGGUUGCUGGGAAAUUACCGCUAGUGAUGCUCAGGAAGCAAAUUGGUUCCAGCUGUGCCUGCUCAGCUGUGCUAGAGAUGCAAGCAGGUGCCAUAUUCUCUGAUUUCAAGCUGUUCCAGGUUCACACCCAUGACCUCAAAACCCUGAAGCUGGAUGACAUGGAACACCUGCUUGGUCUAGACAUGGGCACAGCUGCCUAUGUUCCUGGCAUGGGACUGACAUAAACUGUCUUCUUUCUUCCUGGUUGAGCAAAGUCAGGUAAGCAACCUGCAGAGCAAUCCAAGGAAUCCAGAAUAGAAUCACAGUCACAGAAUUUUAGCAGAGUACUUUAAUUAUAUCAUUUGCAACCGUCUUAUAUGAUAGGUAUUCAUCCAUUCAUCCAAUGCUCCACCUUGUGUGACUGUGGAGCUGAACAAACAACUCAGCAUAUGUAUGCUUGCCCACAAUGCCCUGCCUCAUGUACGGAGGAGGAGUUGUUUAAAGCUACAGACAAUUAUUAUAUUUUAUUAUAUAUAUAGAUUUAGAUUUAGAUUUAGAUUUAGAUUAGAUUUAGACUAGUUUGGGGACCUGGCAGUGCCCAGGUCAUUUGAGAAAGGCAUUGUUUUCCUGUGUUCCAAGUGUAGUCUAUAUCCAUAUAAUAAUAUAAUACAAUAUAAUAAUAAUAAUAAUAAUAAUAAUAUAUUAUAAUAAUAUUAAGUAUAUAGUAUAUAUUAAAUGUAAUAUUACUAACAAUAUUACUAUAUAAUGAUAUAUUAUAAUAUAAUAAUUUAAUGCUUAUAUUGUGCUAUGCUAAUAAUAUAUUGUAUGUACAUUUGAUUUGUAAGCCACUCUGAGUCCCCUCCGGGGUGAGAAGAGCGGAAUAUAAAUGUAGUAAAUAAAUAAAUGCAGUUGCUGUUGCCCGCUUUUGGUCCAAAACUAUUUCGUUGCUUGUGAUUUCUUUUUUUUAAAUUUCCAUUAUUUGAAAUGUAUUUGUUGUACAAUGCUUUUGACACGAAAUAAAUAAAUAUGAUAGGUCAUUUUGUUUAGACUACAGGCUUAGCAACUGAGGUUAAAAGGAGGACUGCAUACAGAUCUCCAGUGAUUUCAUGGCUGAAGUGCGUCAGAUCGGGGCCAUCCACGGAACAAGUAAUCUACUGUAUAAAGUCAAUUCAGAUCAAGCAAACAGCAAAAAAAAACUACAAUGUUCCUAGUAACCAGCUGUUAAGUAUUAUUGAUGCCCCUGUUAUUAACACAUAGCUAAGACUCAGACUCUGUCCUAGAUCAAAUGGCACAUCAGAUGGAAAAGUGUCUUUUUUGGACAAUUCACAUAAUCAUACAGCCACAGUAUGACUGUGAACUGUCCAAACAAGUAAUAACUCCAUAUUCUGUCUAGACAAGCCCGUACCCAGGAUUUUGUUUUGGGCGGGGCUGGGAUUUUGGUUCGGGGGGGGGGGGCUGAGCGGGAGAGGGUCUACCCUAGCAAACCUUUUGUAUCAUUAUCCCAAUACCCCCAUGCAUCUGGGAUAUAUUGAUCAUGGUGAUCAGCUCAUGAUAUGGAAUAAACAUAACAACUUGAAUCCUGAAUGUUACGUCGUCAUCGCCGGACACUCUAAGAAAUA
rnacentral:lncRNA from 11 species